rnacentral:rRNA from 1 species
GACGAACGCUGGCGGCGUGCCUAAUACAUGCAAGUAGAACGCACAGUUUAUACCGUAGCUUGCUACACCAUAGACUGUGAGUUGCGAACGGGUGAGUAACGCGUAGGUAACCUGCCUGGUAGCGGGGGAUAACUAUUGGAAACGUUAGCUAAUACCGCAUAAUAUUAAUUAUUGCAUGAUAAUUAAUUGAAAGGUGCAAUUGCACCACUACCAGAUGGACCUGCGUUGUAUUAGCUAGUAGGUGAGGUAACGGCUCACCUAGGCGACGAUACAUAGCCGACCUGAGAGGGUGGUCGGCCACACUGGGACUGAGACACGGCCCAGACUCCUACGGGAGGCAGCAGUAGGGAAUCUUCGGCAAUGGACGAAAGUCUGACCGAGCAACGCCGCGUGAGUGAAGAAGGUUUUCGGAUCGUAAAGCUCUGUUGUAAGAGAAGAACGGGUGUGAGAGUGGAAAGUUCACACUGUGACGGUAUCUUACCAGAAAGGGACGGCUAACUACGUG